CAAGUCGAGCGGACCGACGGGAGCUUGCUCCCUUAGGUCAGCGGCGGACGGGUGAGUAACACGUGGGUAACCUGCCUGUAAGACUGGGAUAACUCCGGGAAACCGGGGCUAAUACCGGAUGCUUGAUUGAACCGCAUGGUUCAAUCAUAAAAGGUGGCUUUUAGCUACCACUUGCAGAUGGACCCGCGGCGCAUUAGCUAGUUGGUGAGGUAACGGCUCACCAAGGCGACGAUGCGUAGCCGACCUGAGAGGGUGAUCGGCCACACUGGGACUGAGACACGGCCCAGACUCCUACGGGAGGCAGCAGUAGGGAAUCUUCCGCAAUGGACGAAAGUCUGACGGAGCAACGCCGCGUGAGUGAUGAAGGUUUUCGGAUCGUAAAACUCUGUUGUUAGGGAAGAACAAGUACCGUUCGAAUAGGGCGGUACCUUGACGGUACCUAACCAGAAAGCCACGGCUAACUACGUGCCAGCAGCCGCGGUAAUACGUAGGUGGCAAGCGUUGUCCGGAAUUAUUGGGCGUAAAGCGCGCGCAGGCGGUUUCUUAAGUCUGAUGUGAAAGCCCCCGGCUCAACCGGGGAGGGUCAUUGGAAACUGGGGAACUUGAGUGCAGAAGAGGAGAGUGGAAUUCCACGUGUAGCGGUGAAAUGCGUAGAGAUGUGGAGGAACACCAGUGGCGAAGGCGACUCUCUGG
rnacentral:rRNA from 1 species